ensembl:lincRNA
UUGUGAUCCAGGCAGGAAGUGACAUAGCAGGCAGAGUCAGAAUUGCUCCCUUCCUCCUCCUCUCUUCUCUGGAGCCACCAUGUGAUCUUGGCAAGAGAAGAUGCCUUCCUCUGGCGUCCUUAUAUGUUUAAUGGUAUGAGGAAUCGAGCUCCCUACGGAAUGGACAUCUCAGCAAAUGUCCAGAGCAGUGCUCAUUUUCAGGAGCACAGCUGAAGAGAUGACCCCAACACCCUCGCUACCAGAAUAUGUGGACUAUCUUGUAUCAGAAGGACAGAGAGCAUGGCUAUACCACAAGUCUUCAUGCUGCCAAUGGGGGAAAACAGUCAUGGAGCCUACAACUCUGCUGAAAGAGGAGGUGGAGAGAGGCAGAGCCCCAGGAGCCAGAGAGCUGAGUCCAUCACAUCAGCUGGAUGCAACUCAAUCAGGGCUCUGGAUUCCCGUUAAAGGGCAGUGGAAGCCCAUUUUUUGCCCUAAAGGGAAACAUGAUUAUAAAAUAGUAAAAUCAAUGCUUGGCUAUCGUCCAAAAAGAGUAUUGGAGUCUAUGAAGAAAAUUACAACUCCAAUAAGAAGUCUUUCUGGGGUGUUUCAAGUUUUGAUUAAGGGAAGAUAUGUGUUACAGGGAAGUGCCAGGACCUGUUCUGGCACCUGUUCUGCAACCAGUGGCACCUGUUCUGCAACAUCAGUUGCUUGGGAAGCCAGGACAGAGGAUCUCAAGUUCAAGUGUCACCUAAACUACAAGGUGAGGUCAAGCACGGUGUGAACAAACUAAGGAAGCUCUUCCUCAAAACAAACAAUUAAAAUUGGGAUGAGCUACAGCUCAGUGGUACAGCAACUGCUUGGCAUUUACACAUCCCAGGUUCAAGUCCCAGGACCACACAGAGAGAUAAACUAUACCCCAUUUCCAGCAUGCAGUCAAGAAAAAAAAAAAAAAAAAAAACAUCGGUAUCUGUGAGGAAAUAUUUUUUACAAUUUAUUCAUAGUAGCUAUACACCAGUUACAAUACAAAGGCACAUUACCAGUAAGUGGAUAAGUGUGAUACAUUCACACACUGACUAUAAAUCAAAUAUUUUUAAGGCCCUUAUUGAUGUUCACUACAAAAAGCUGUGCAUUGUAAUCUCCAAUGCAUUUUGCUGGGUGAUAGGAAGACACCACAGAAAAGCUCAACGGCGUAACUCCAUGCAUAUCCAACUCUGGAAAAGACAAAUAAAUCAUGGGGACAAAAGUCAGAUAGGGUCCCCAUGUUUGUGGAGGUUAAAGGUGACUACCAUAGAAAGGAGCAUGUUUAUUUUAGCUUACAGUUCAUAGUCAGUCACUGAGAAAUGCCAAAGCAGGAACUUCAAGCAGAAAUCAUGUUUCCCCAAACUUGCACAGCUACAUUUCUUACACAUGCCAGGCAACUGUGCUUAGGGAUGCUCCCACCCUCAGUAGGUGGGUCACACGCAUGUCACACCGUUCAUUUAGUUUUAUCACCGAAGAAAAUCAUUGCUUCAUACAGAUUUGUAUGUCCCUUCAUUAAAGAACACCAUGAGGUUUCAAGUUUAGGGAAAUUGUGAAUAGAGCACAUACAAAAAUUCAUUUACAAGUUUAUGUGUAAAUAUGUACUUAAAUUCCUAAAACAUACAAUUGUACUGAAGAGGUGUAUGCUGGAUCAUGUGAUAUGCAUAUACAUGUACAUAUACAUAUAUGUAUCUAUAUAUAAUAAUUUUUAAAUGUCGAGCUAUUUUUCCAGGAAAACUGCAAGGUUUCUAGUUCUAAGUCUCUUCAGAUCAUGUUAAUAAUAGUUGGUAUCAUUUAUUUGAAUCAUUCUAUGAAAUGUAUAAAUUGAAAUUCAUUAAGGUUUUAAUUAUCAGUUCCCUAACAGUUAAGUUACCUUUUACAUCUCGUGUCUGCUAUUCAUGUUGAUGUAUUUGUCAUAUGAUGUAAGACUUUUCCUGGGGAGAAUUUAACAAAUGACCAUUCACCCUGGUUAGGCAAAAACAACAAACCAAGGACAAAAUUCCACCCAAAUCCAGGCUGGUGACCCAGGGACUUUGUUGGGAUUCGUUACAGGAACAUGGUAAACCAAAGGCAGCUUCAUUAUUGGAAAGGCCAAACAUUCAUGGGCAGUGAUCCACAAAAAGCUACAUCCAUUGAGCAUUCUGCCCAACUUGUAAGCAGUUCGACCAGGGAUUCUCCUCUCAGCGAUUGUUGUUAGCUGAAUUUUAUAAUCUUGGGCCCUUGUCAAGCUUGUCAGUAUCUGAGCUUUCCAAAGCCUGUAACUUUCCUUAGCUUUGUAAGUCAUAAGAACUGCCUUCAUCUCUCCAAGAGGGAAUGUUUCAGUUCAAAGGGAAGAACAUAAAACACCUGAUUCACUCACUUGUUAUCAUCAUCAUCAUCCCUGUUGUUAAAUUUUGAGACAGGUUCUUAUGUGACAGACGCUGGCCUUAAACUCACAAUCCUGCAUCAGCCUCCUAAGUGCUUCAAAUAGUGGCAUGUACCACCACAAUAAUCUUUAGACAUAGUUUCACUGUAUUUUUUCCUUACCCAUGAGCUUAGACAGUUCUUCCUGUAGUGGAUACAGGUCCCUUUUUGAGCAGAUGAUAAGCAAACGUUGCCAGAUGAUAUGCAAUUUAUCUUUUCAUUUUUAUUAAUACAGAACUCACAGGAAAAAGUUAACUGCUAAAGUCUGUUUAUCAGCAUCCAUAUUCAAGGACCUUGCAUUGGAGGCUAGUCUAGUACAUUUUUACAUACCUAAGGUUGGAAUAUUUCCUACAAUACCCAUUAUUUGUGAUUAUAUGUAUGAGAGUUUUUGUAAUUUUGUCAAAUUUAAAUUGAGGGGUUUCCUUUUUCAUUUUAAAUGUGUCUCUCCACCUGAUCAAGACCAUUUGUUAUUACAUUUAUUGUGCCAGCAACUUCACAAAACUCAACUGAAUAUAUUCAUGCAGAGCUCUAACUAGAGUCUUUAUUCUGUUCCCCUGGUCUGUUUCCUUCAGAUACUACUGUGUCCUGAUUGUUGCACAUGGUUAAGAAACUUAGCAUUAGCUUCUAGGAUUCCUCAAACCUAAUCUACUUUAAAAACAGUAUAGUUAGUUUUCCUUUUCCAUAGAAUGAGGAUUUUCGGUAUUGACAUUUUUUUCCAUCUUUUUUUAUUUGAAUUAGAAACGAGAUUGUUUUACAUGUCACUCCCAGUUCCCAUUCCCUCCUGUCUUCCCCUACCACCCACCCCAACUAAAACCCUACCUAUGACAUAUCCUUUCUGCUCCCCAGGGAGGGUGAGGCCUUCCAUAGGGGGUUCUCAGAGUCUAUCAUAUCCUUUGGGAUAGGACCUAGGCCCACCCCUGUGUGUCUUGGCUCAGGGAGUAUCCCUGUAUGUGGACUGGGCUCCCAAAGUCCACACCUAUGCUAGGGAUAAGUGCUGAACUACCACAGGAGGUCCUGUAGAUUUCCGAGGUCUCCUCAUUGAAACCCACGUUCCUGGGGUCUGGACCAGUCCCAUGCUGGUUUCCCAGCUACCAGUCUAGGGACCUAUUGCUCCCUGUUGUUCAGGUCAGCUGUUUCUGUGGGUUUCACCAGUAUUGGCAUCUUUAAAGGUUCCUACAAAGAUCUGGUGAGAAUUGCAUCAGACCUGUAGAUAAGAUGGAUGGCAUAGACUAUGUCAUCUCACAGUCCACAAACAAAGGUCUGUUGGUCCCUCUGUUGUAAAAAAUAUCAUGAAAUUCUUUUAUAGGCAUUUGUGAUUUUUCAGCAUAUAGUUUACUCAGCAUAUGUCCACAUAUUUCUGUUGGAAAACUAAUAAGUUAGUUUAAAAUUUUGGUUUCUAAUUGUUCCCUCAUGGUAACUUACAUAUCAUUAGGGUUGUGUAUAUGAGCCUGCAUUUAUGGUCAAGCUCUUCGUAAAAACUACUUGUAGUAUUCUACAUGGACCAGUAUAUCCUCUGUGAGGGCUUUGUUUCUUUCAACUCAAUCUGCUUAGAUGAAUUUUCUUCUCUUAUUGCACUGAUUAUAACUGUAGCACUGUUGGUAAGCACUGUUGAGAGUAAAUGUAUUUACUAUAUUUCAGUCUGAUGGAAAAACAUACAUGUAUGUCAGUUGAUCUUUGCUAAGUAAAACAGUAAGUCUUUUGCAUAUGGCUUUCCCCCCAAAUUAUAGUUUCUUUUAUUCAUUUUUAUCAUGAACAGGCCUUGGUUUUUUGAAAAUGCUAUUUACUCCAUCUGAUAAGAUUAUGUGACUUUCCCUCAUAAGACAGAUAAUAAUAUAUGCACUAUACUAACAAGUUUUUUUUCUUAGUUUUUAACCUUGACCCAACUUUGAAAUAUGGAACACAGACAAGACGGUCAUGGUAAAUUAUUUCUUUCAUACAUUUCUGGAUUUGAUUGGGUAAUUUUUGAAACUUUCUUACAUAUUAUCAAAAUGAGUUAUCCUGGCCUGCAGUUUUUCCACAUUCAUCUAUAAUAAUGUAGCUUUAUGAAAUUAGCUGGCAAGCACUUUCUCUCUUCCAUUUUCCACACAAAGGAAGAUAUUAUAUAAAUUGCUGCUAUUUCCACUUUAAAUGUGUCUCAUAAAUCUUCAUAGGAACAGUCUCACCUAGGAAGUUUUAAAUUAUGGGUUCAAUGUCAAUAACAUCUUUAGGAUUAUUCAGACCAUCUAUUUAAUUACAACCUAGUGUAGGUAGUUUAUGAUUCUUUGGGGUUUGUUAUAUUUUAUUUAUCUAAUUUGUCAGAUCAACACAUGUAGCUGUCCAUGGUACCUCAUUUUAUUGUCUACAUGGUAGUAAUAACAUUUCUUAUUUGCUUUCUGAUAUUGGUAAUUUUGUAAGACCCUCAGAAAGCUGAGGCUUCCAGAAUCUUAGCCCAGGACGGCGGCCACCCCAAACACAGAAUGGAGGCGAAAGCUUGAUGCAAACUGCACGAGGCUUUAUUGUAGUUUAACAAGCUAACCCCAUGUUAGCUCGGGUCUUUCACCCACCCGCCAUGGCGAGAAAAGAACCGAGC